rnacentral:rRNA from 1 species
CCCUUAGAUGUCCUGGGCCGCACGCGCGCUACACUGAGUGUCUGAGAUACGAGUCUGCCUGGUCCGGCAAGGUCUAGGUAAUCGCUAAAAGACACAUCAUGCUUGGGAUAGAUUAUUGCAAAUAUUAAUCUUGAACGAGGAAUUCCUAGUAAGCGCAAGUCAACAGCUUGCGUUGAUUACGUCCCUGCCCUUUGUACACACCGCCCGUCGCUACUACUGAUUGGAUGUUUAAGCGAGGUUCUCGAACUGCUAGCGACUCAGCUUCGGUGAGGUCGCAGUGUGGGAAGUGAACCUAGCUUUGGUGUCUAGAGGAAGUAAAAGUCGUAACA